GUGGGGAAUCUUCCGCAAUGGACGAAAGUCUGACGGAGCAACGCCGCGCGAGUGAUGAAGGUCUUCGGAUUGUAAAGCUCUGUUAAUCGGGACGAAAGAGCCUAGAGUGAAUAAUGCUAGGAAGUGACGGUACCGGAAUAGAAAGCCACGGCUAACUACGUGCCAGCAGCCGCGGUAAUACGUAGGUGGCAAGCGUUGUCCGGAAUUAUUGGGCGUAAAGCGCGCGCAGGCGGAUCUGCCAGUCUGUCUUAAAAGUUCGGGGCUUAACCCCGUGAUGGGAUGGAAACUACAGAUCUAGAGUAUCGGAGAGGAAAGUGGAAUUCCUAGUGUAGCGGUGAAAUGCGUAGAUAUUAGGUAGAACACCAGUGGCGAAGGCGACUUUCUGGUCGAAAACUGACGCUGAGGCGCGAAAGCCAGGGGAGCGAACGGGAUUAGAUACCCUUGUAGUCC
rnacentral:rRNA from 1 species